rnacentral:rRNA from 1 species
GACGUAGGGCGCGAGCGUUGUCCGGAUUUAUUGGGCGUAAAGAGCUCGUAGGCGGCUUGUCGCGUCGACUGUGAAAACCCGCGGCUCAACUGCGGGCCUGCAGCCGAUACGGGCAGGCUAGAGUUCGGUAGGGGAGACUGGAAUUCCUGGUGUAGCGGUGAAAUGCGGCAGAUAUCAGGAGGAACACCGGUGGCGAAGGCGGGUC